AGAGUUUGAUCCUGGCUCAGGAUGAACGCUAGCGGCAGGCCUAAUACAUGCAAGUCGAACGAGACUGAGUAGCAAUACUUAGUUUAGUGGCGCACGGGUGCGUAACGCGUAUGCAACCUACCUUCUAUUGGGGGAUAGCCUUCCGAAAGGGAGAUUAAUACCGCAUAACAUCAUUUGAGGGCAUCCGAAGAUGAUCAAAGCUACGGCGAUAGAAGAUGGGCAUGCGUGCCAUUAGCUAGCUGGUUGAGGUAACGGCUCACCAAGGCUACGAUGGCUAGGGGUUCUGAGAGGAUGAUCCCCCACACUGGUACUGAGAUACGGACCAGACUCCUACGGGAGGCAGCAGUAGGGAAUAUUGGGCAAUGGACGCAAGUCUGACCCAGCCAUGCCGCGUGCAGGAUGAAGGCCUUCUGGGUUGUAAACUGCUUUUUUACGGGAAGAAAAAACUCUUGCGAGAGGAACUGACGGUACCGUAAGAAUAGGCACCGGCUAACUCCGUGCCAGCAGCCGCGGUAAUACGGAGGGUGCAAGCGUUGUCCGGAUUUAUUGGGUUUAAAGGGUGCGUAGGCGGCCCGUUAAGUCAGUGGUGAAAGCCCAUAGCUCAACUAUGGAACUGCCAUUGAUACUGACGGGCUUGAGUACAGACGAGGUAGGCGGAAUUGAAGAUGUAGCGGUGAAAUGCAUAGAUACCUUCAAGAACACCGAUUGCGUAGGCAGCUUACUAGGCUGUAACUGACGCUGAGGCACGAAAGCGUGGGGAGCGAACAGGAUUAGAUACCCUGGUAGUCCACGCUGUAAACGACGAUUACUCGAUGUCGGCGAUAAACUGUCGGCGUCUUAGCGAAAGCGUUAAGUAAUCCACCUGGGGAGUACGCCCGCAAGGGUGAAACUCAAAUGAAUUGACGG
rnacentral:rRNA from 1 species